AGCUGAUAACAUACAUGCACUGAGUCAUUAACUGCGUUUAAUUGGAGGCACAGAUCUUCCCCAUGUAAUCAAAGCCAUUAUGUCGAGAGCAAUUUCAAAUGAAGUUGGAAUGCUAUAUUCCUGGGAGGGAGCUCGGCAAAAAAAAGCUUUUAAAUCGCUAAAGUUCGUCCAAGUGAUCAUUGGUGUUGUUCGACUGAACUCCAAGACAAAAUCUGCAACAGAAUCGGAUAUCAUAGAAGUAAUAAAAAAUUGGCUAGUUAGAAGUAAAGAACGCAGUAACAAGUUUCAAUCAAAAAAGAAAACGGAAAACACUGUGUGUCAAACAGAUUCCGUUUGUGAAACAGGCUCUGCUUGUGAAACAGGCUCCGUUUGUGAAACAGGCUCCGUUUCUGAGAAAGACCUUAUUCAAGAUUAAGAUAAUUAUAUGUAUAACU